rnacentral:tmRNA from 1 species
GGGGUUGUACUGGUUUCGACGGGGAUUUUGCAAUUACGGAAGCCAUUCGCGGGCCCAGACCGCGUCAGUAAAUGGGAAAAUAAAUAUAAACGCAGAAGAUAAUUUAGCGUACGCUGCCUAGUGGCAGCAGUCGGCCUUAAGUCACUCGCUGCUUAAGAGUCCGGCUUCGAACUUGCGAGGCACUUUAUUUUCAAAGCUUUGAGGAAAUAAAAGAACUGAUGAAGCUACUGAAACUUAAAGCCUGUCAUUAGGCGUUAAGUAGAGGGAAUGAUAAAAUAAUGACUGUAAUGGGAGAUGCUGUAAUGAAUGGAUUUUCGGACAGGGGUUCGAUUCCCCUCAGCUCCAUUU